rnacentral:rRNA from 1 species
CAGUAGCCGCGGUAAUACGCAGGGUGCGAGCGUUAAUCGGAAUUACUGGGCGUAAAGCGUGCGCAGGCGGUUGUGUAAGACAGGUGUGAAAUCCCCGGGCUUAACCUGGGAACUGCGCUUGUGACUGCACAGCUAGAGUAUGGCAGAGGGGGGUGGAAUUCCACGUGUAGCAGUGAAAUGCGUAGAGAUGCGGAGGAACACCGAUGGCGAAGGCAGCCCCCUGGGCCAAUACUGACGCUCAUGCACGAAAGCGUGGGGAGCAAACAGGAUUAGAUACCCCAGUAGUCCCUGUCUCUUAUAC